rnacentral:rRNA from 1 species
CACACUAACGGAGGUUAGCGGCGGACGGGUGAGUAACACGUGGAUAACCUACCUUUUCCCGGGAUAACAGGCCGAAAGGCUUGCUAAUACCGGAUAAGCUCACGGGGUCGCAUGGCCCUGGGAGAAAAGGCGCUGCAAGGCGGUGGGAAGAGAGGGGUCCGCGGCCCAUUAGCUAGUUGGGGGGGUAACGGCCCACCAAGGCGACGAUGGGUAGCCGGCCUGAGAGGGCGACCGGCCACACUGGGACUGAGACACGGCCCAGACUCCUACGGGAGGCAGCAGUCGGGAAUUUUGCACAAUGGCCGAAAGGCUGAUGCAGCAACGCCGCGUGAGUGAUGAAGGCCUUCGGGUUGUAAAGCUCUGUUGCCCGUGACGAACGGCGCGAUCAGGAAAUGGGUCGCCGAUUGACGGUAGCGGGAGAGGAAGCCCCCGGCUUAAACUACUUGCCACAGCCGCGGUAAUACGUAGGGGGCGAGCGUUGUCC